GACGAACGCUGGCGGCGUGCCUAAUACAUGCAAGUUGAGCGCUGAAGGUUGGUACUUGUACCAACUGGAUGAGCAGCGAACGGGUGAGUAACGCGUGGGGAAUCUGCCUUUGAGCGGGGGACAACAUUUGGAAACGAAUGCUAAUACCGCAUAAAAACUUUAAACACAAGUUUUAAGUUUGAAAGAUGCAAUUGCAUCACUCAAAGAUGAUCCCGCGUUGUAUUAGCUAGUUGGUGAGGUAAAGGCUCACCAAGGCGAUGAUACAUAGCCGACCUGAGAGGGUGAUCGGCCACAUUGGGACGGAGACACGGCCCAAACUCCUACGGGAGGCAGCAGUAGGGAAUCUUCGGCAAUGGACGAAAGUCUGACCGAGCAACGCCGCGUGAGCGAAGAAGGUUUUCGGAUCGUAAAACUCUGUUGGUAGAGAAGAACGUUGGUGAGAGUGGAAAGCUCAUCAAGUGACGGUAACUACCCAGAAAGGGACGGCUAACUACGUG
rnacentral:rRNA from 1 species